UACGUAGGGGGCGAGCGUUGUCCGAAUUUACUGGGCGUAAAGAGCGCGUAGGCGGGUUCUUAAGUGAGAGGUGAAAGGUUCAGGGCUCAACCCGAACAGUGCCUUUCAUACUGGGAGCCUUGAGUGUGGGAGAGGCGAGUGGAAUUUCUGGUGUAGCGGUGAAAUGCGUAGAUAUCGGGAGGAACACCGGUGGCGAAGGCGGUUCUCUGGGCCUUACCUGACGCUGAGGAGCGAAAGCGUGGGGAGCGAACAGG
rnacentral:rRNA from 1 species